AUUGAACGCUGGCGGCAUGCUUUACACAUGCAAGUCGAACGGCAGCGCGGGCUUCGGCCUGGCGGCGAGUGGCGAACGGGUGAGUAAUACAUCGGAACGUGACCAGUAGUGGGGGAUGGCUGGGCGAAGGGGGGAUUAAUACCGCAUAGGACAUGAGGGUGAAAGGGGGGGAUCUUUGGACAUGGGGGUAUUGGAGCGCCCGGUGGCAGAUUGGCGAGUUGGUGGGGUAAAGGCCUACCAAGGCGACGAUCUGUAGCUGGUCUGAGAGGACGACCAGCCACACUGGGACUGAGACACGGCCCAGACUCCUACGGGAGGCAGCAGUGGGGAAUUUUGGACAAUGGGCGAAAGCCUGAUCCAGCAAUGCCGCGUGUGUGAUGAAGGCCUUCGGGUUGUAAAGCACUUUUGGCGGGAACGAAAAGGACUGUGCCAAUACCACGGUUCGAUGACGGUACCCGCAGAAUAAGCACCGGCUAACUACGUG
rnacentral:rRNA from 1 species